rnacentral:sRNA from 1 species
GAAUAUUUUCAAUGAGAACUGUCGCCGAACCCAUAGAAAUUGGCGCGAAAUCUCCCGAUGCGAACUCGCAAAAGCCAAUUGCAUAUUGACCCUUGAACGAUGUGAUACCGUGUCCUGCGAGAAUGUCCGGCGAGUCCUUGCCCAAUAAAAUUCCGAGACCAGGUUCGGAUGACA